rnacentral:rRNA from 1 species
UGGUGGGUUGCCUUGUCAGGUUGAUUCCGGUAACGAACGAGACCUCAACCUGCUAAAUAGUCACGAUCGAUUUUUCGGUUGGCCGACUUCUUAGAGGGACUGUUGGCGACUAGCCAAUGGAAGUUUGAGGCAAUAACA